GAUGAACGCUGGCGGCGUUCCUAAUACAUGCAAGUCGAGCGAACAGACGAGGAGCUUGCUCCUCUGACGUUAGCGGCUGACGGGUGAGUAACACGUGGAUAACCUCCCUAUAAGACUGGGAUAACUUCGGGAAACCGGAGCUAAUACCGGAUAAUAUAUUGCACCGCAUGGUUCACUAGUGAAAGACGGUUUUGCUGUCACUUAUAGAUUGAUCCGCGCCGCAUUAGCUAGUUGGUAAGGUAACGGCUUACCAAGGCGACGAUGCGUAGCCGACCUGAGAGGGUGAUCGGCCACACUGGAACUGAGACACGGUCCAGACUCCUACGGGAGGCAGCAGUAGGGAAUCUUCCGCAAUGGGCGAAAGCCGGACGGAGCAACGCCGCGUGAGUGAUGAAGGUCUUCGGAUCGUAAAACUCUGUUAUUAGGGAAGAACAAAUGUGGAAGUAACUAUGCACGCCUUGACGGUACCUAAUCAGAAAGCCACGGAUAACUACGUG
rnacentral:rRNA from 1 species